UGCUCAGUCGGUCGUGGACUAUCCGUGGACUCGUCCCGCCCUGAUCUCCCACGUGCAGUGCAGGACCGUGACCUGCUGCGUUACCCGGGCCCCCAAGGAGCCUCCGAAGCCGUGUGCGCAGGUUCGAAUCCUGCCGGGG
rnacentral:tRNA from 1 species